GCUGUUUCUCUUUGUGUGCACACAGCUGGAAGUCUUCUCUUACCUGCUAUCCUGUGUUCCUUCACUCCCUGGGUUCCUGUUCAGGCGCCAAUUGCCACGUCCCAUGCGGCCCCUGAUGUUCCCACGGUGAGGAGGCCUGGAGCCCAGCAUGCCAGCUCCUGCUCAGCCCCAACCCUCAGCCCUUGUUUCGGGACCGGAGCAACCAGCCAGCCUCAAGCCUUGUCCAGCUGUCCCUGUCCUCACCCCUGGGACCUGUCAGCGUGUUAGGCUCUGUGGCACUGAGGUUCUUCCAGCGUGGUCAGGCCUAGUGUGACCACAGGGUUCUCCGACACGGAGGAGGAGGCGGCAGCGCGGAGGUCAGAGUGAUGCAACAGCCAGAGAACUUGCCACGCUCCUACCGGCUUUGAAGGGGGACAGCUGCCUGCACAGGAGAGGGGGUCUUGAUCCCCCAAGAGCUUCCAGAAGGAGCACAGUCCUGACGCCUUGAUUUAGCCUCUCUGAGACUUGCACUAGACUUAUCUACAGAGCUGUGUGACAAUAUGUUUGUGAGUUUUUAAAUUUUUCUUUUGGUUUGUGAGACAGGUGCUUGCUAUGCAGUUUAGGCUGGCCUUACACUCACUGUGUAGCCCAGGCUGGCUCAAUCCUGUGGCAAUCCUCCUGCCUCAGCUUUCCGAGUUCUCAGAUUACCGGCACCCUCCACCAUGCAUUGCAAUCUGUGUUACUUCAAGCCAUUUAAUGUGCAGUAAUCUGUUACAGCAGCCAAAAGAAACUAGCAGAGAUAAUUGAUAUCUUCAUAAUAUUGAACUUUCCAAUCUGUGAGCAUGGUAUGACUCUGCAUUUAUAUAGAUGCUCUUUAAUUCCUCUCAGUAGUAUUUUAUAGCUUUCAGUCUAGCAGGCUUGCCCAUCUUUCAUUAAAAUUAUUCCUCCGUAUCUUACAUUUCUUGAUGCAUAGCAGAUCUGUUAUUUGAAGCAGAAACCUCCCAAACCAGAAGAAAUUAGAAGGCAGUGUUCACAAUCCUGGCACAUGGCUGGAGUGGACUCUGUGCUGGAAUGAGGAAGCCCCAGCACCACCGUCUUGGAGGCCCUGCACCGUGCUCUGGGGGCUCUUCCCGGUUCUGUCUAUGAGGAACCAAGAAAGACCUCUGGGGACCUGGAGGAGGAGGGGACCCCGCAGACUUUGCUGGUCAGAGAAGGCCGUGCUUCCCCCAAAGUGCUCCAGAAAACUUGGUGGAAAAGUUGCAGCCAGGGAAAGGAGAAGGAAGCAUCAGGGAAAAAAAUCUGUGUUCCUGAAGAAACACUUGCAAUAGGCAGAGUUAGCUGCAGGAGUGUAGACAGCUCCCUCCUGGGCAUUCCCACCACACCAGCGGGGUGCCAGCAGGAAGACAGGGGGUGACAGCCAGCACUAAAGAGGGAAGGACACUUAGGGAAGCCCAAAGCCAAGAAGGAGACAAAAACAAAAAUACCAAAGGAAUCCGCAGGCUCUGAUAUCUGUAACUACAGAAACACACACAAUCCUAACUAGGUAGCCUUAAAUUCUCAAAUUAACAUCCUGUUUACUCGACUUCCUAAUGCAAACAUGCAUGAUCAACUCUUUUCAGAAAGAUCACGGAGGGACAGAAUUAUGAAAAUUAUUAUUCCAAAAACUUCGUGAUCCCUGUAAGGAUCCUCCAAGCCUCAAGCCAUCCUCUCCCUCCAGCCUGCUGGUAGUUCCGCCGCCUCCUCUGCGCUGAGAGAUUGGCCAGGUUUUUGCAGAUCUGCCCAUCAACCUGCCAGAGCCACCUUGGCCUUGCGGUUGGAGACUCUCCCACUGAAACCGGUCACCAGCUCCUCUAUUGCUCACAGCAUGUACUUAUUCCUCAAAAUUUUCUAGUGCUGCCAGAAAGGUGACCUUUUCAUCUUAAGCCUCUCUCUUUCUAUUUUUAAAAAUUUCUUCCCUGUCAGAGACCCUUCCCACAGCACUGGUUACUGGGGACUCCAGUCUCCCUCCUGGAGUUCGGGGGCGUGGCAGGAGGGAAGAUCAAGAGCCACACUGGAGGUGCAGCAGGUGUCCUUGGUGACAGUUGUCCCAGGGAACAAAACACCCAGAACCGUGGUACUGAUGGAUCACAUCCGGUCAAGGACAGUGGGCGGAGGGCGCUGAGUGUCUCCGGAGCAGCAGUGGUGGCUGCGUGGAUGGGGAAGAAGAGCAAAGCUUCGUGCAAGGACAGGGCAAGUCGGGGCAGCGAGGAGACCGGAGUGUCCCCAGGACCUUGUGGUCUCAGCAGCCCCAGCUUGGCUGGUGAGCGGGCAGCAGUCUUUAGCCUUAGGGCUUCCAGCUGUGACCGGAAAAGUUUCCAUGUUUCAAUCUGGCUCGAGGGCAGGACAAGGACGAGCGUGGACGUCCCUAGACUCAGUUUAUAAUUUGUGGUCCCUAGCACUUCCCUCCUAUUUCUCCUCAAUUCCUGCCUCAGUGGUUCUGAUCUCCUUUUGCUAAUUGUGUACCCACUCUUAAUUGUAUUCAUUAUUAAAUGGUUCGCUUGACUGGCCCGACUUAAAUAUUCCCUGGUUUCCUUAAGCCUUGUCUAAUGGUCCAAAAGAAGGUUCAAGCCGCUCCUUCUGAGACCCGUGCAGCUGAGCCAGCAUUUUACUAAGCGGAGUUUAUCCUUAUUAGUCAGUGUAUCCUCAUAGCAACAGACUAGAUCCCUGACUUAAGAACCUGGUGCCUUUCUUAUAGGCUGUGAACCACCUCACACUCUCCCUAUUCCUCUCUAGUCCUCCUUCCUUAACAGUCGAUUCUAACCGUAAUAGAGCAAAGUACCUAUGUUUACUAAGUACUUUGUGUCCCAGGUGCCACCACUUAAAAUUCUUGAUCAUUUCCGGGAUCAUAGUUUUGAGCUGGACAAGACGAGUGUGGGCUGUGUUAAAACCAACGCUCGCCACUGCUCUCCUAAACUGAUUUUGGAUUUAAACCAAAAAAAUGGCAUUUCUGAUGUCAGACUUGCUUGCCUGGUUCUGAUAUUUUGGCAGGAAAAUAUAAAUUUUUAUCAUCUUUAGAAUUCUUGAAAAUCAACAUAGUGGUUUAAGAGUUACUUAUGCAUGGUUACUAGAAAGAAAUUCUACUUACACUGGGCUAAUAAAAAAGCAGUUUAUUGUAAGCCAUGAAGCAUCCCAGAGUGUUGAAUUCCAGCAGCUACAGCAGCCGUCACAGAAGCAGAAGGUCACCCAAGCGCCCUCCACUGUGCUCUUGCUGUCUUUCUCUUCCUGUCCUCUGCCUCCUGGACCCUUGUCUCUGCUCUGCAUGCGCCUUUCCUUUUGUCCUUGCAAAAUACCAACUGUGAGUGCCACAUCCAUCCAGGUAUUUGUUGUUCAUUUGCCAGGUAUUUGUUUUUAACACAGCCCACACUCAUCAUGUGCAGCUCAAAACUGUGAUCCCAGCAGUGCCAUUUCUAGUUACAAACGCUGCUUCCUCUGAAACUAGGAGCGAGACUGUGACAGGCUGACUCUGGUAAGAGGCCAGCCUCCUCCAGCCGGCUCACACUGCCUGACAGCCAAGGACAUAUCGCUGCACUGUCCCGUCCAGUUAGGGUCCAACAUGCUUUUCAAGAAGGGCAUAUCAGCUCUCCACAGCUGUGACACAAUAUGUAAGGACAUCACCUCGCAGGAGACAUGUGCUUGGCUCAUGGUUCUAGAGGUCCCAGCCUGUGUUCACCUAGAGCGUGGCACUGGGCUUGUGCUGGGGCCAAGCAUCAUGGUGCUGAUGGUGGUGGGGCAAAGCUGCUCACCCCACAGUGGCCUGGACGCAGAGAGGCCUCACAUCACACAAGGCCCCGUGCCCAACUCCCACAGUGGCGCAAACCCAUCAGUGGAUGAGGGCCGACCCUCAUAGCGUCCCCAGUGCCUCGCAGUGGCUGCCCCUCGGGACCAAGCCUUCAACACAGGAAUUUGGGGAAGACUUUGGAGAUUCAAGUUAUAAAACAGUGGGUGUGGGCAGCAAAUAAACAACAAAUACCUGGAUGGAAUGACGGUCGUCUCCUAUGCAAGGCUUGGACAAGCGAGCAUUUAUUUAACUUAUUGGCUACUACUGCCAGGAUCGAUAGCUAAUUACCUCUGGCCUUGUAGUUUGGGGUAGAUUGACGUGAGAGCAGACUACUCUGUUAUCUCAUCCCAUGAAGACAGUGUUACUGUGUUUACAUUUUUAUUACAAUUUCUUCUAAAUUGCUCAUUUCAUGGAUGUUAUAGAAAAUACAGAAUUAAAUUACAUUAUUCCAUAAAAGCAUAUGUAUCUUAAUAAGUGUUCUCGGUGCCUAAGAAAGGGCUUGGGAAACCCAAAGAUCACCCACUCUCCCUGGAUUUCCUCACUGCUGGUAGUAACACUAGAGGCCAAGAUAAAACUUCAGAUUUUUCUCUUAAAACUUACUGGCUCAUUGUUAUAAUUCUGGAUAGAGCUAGUUGAGGAAUAAUAGGUCUGGUCUGUGCUUUGUAUCCUCUCUUUUCUGUAAGCAGCAUCAAAAUCAUUUACUGUAUUAAAGGUCAAGAUUGAACUUUUCCUUUAAAAAUAAAACCGUCACAUUUUCAAAGUUAGAGAGAAGAUAAAAAUAGUUCCUUUAAUUCCUAAAAGUAAGACCUCAGUAAUUUCCUAUCAAUGCUAAAUAAUAACCAUAAAAUUAGCAUAAAAUCUUGUAAUGUCUCUCUCUUUCACACACACACAGUCAAUCACACAAGUGUGACAGUUGGCUCCUAACUCAGUCGUGCAUUUCAGAGUUCACUGUGUGGCUGAGUU